rnacentral:rRNA from 1 species
UACAGAGGUCCCAAGCGUUGUUCGGAUUCACUGGGCGUAAAGGGUGCGUAGGCGGCCGGGUAAGUCUGAUGUGAAAUCCCGCAGCUCAACUGCGGAACUGCAUCGGAUACUCUCCGGCUAGAGGAAUGGAGGGGAGACUGGAAUUCUCGGUGUAGCAGUGAAAUGCGUAGAUAUCGAGAGGAACACCAGUGGCGAAAGCGGCCACCUGGACUGCACCUGACGCUGACACGCGAAAGCUAGGGGAGCGAACGGG